UGUGCGGUGGGCGAUCCAAUGGUAGAUUCAUGUGAAGGUGAAUCCUUCUUUCACACUAAAGAUAAAAUCUUGAUUCAUCCAUAAUGCUAAAGUUGGUACUUUUGUGCUCCAAACCUCAUGAUUGAUCAUCUCUUUGAUUUGAUAGCCAAGGGGCACAAAGCUUAUCGAUUUCCCUACUUGAAGCCUCCUCAAAAUCGAUACUUGAUUGAACUUUAGCAUGGUCGAUCCAUUGCUUCAAUACGCUUUAGAUAGAUGCUAGAUGGCAAAUUGGAGAAUCUAUCUGCUCUCUGAUGAUAAAUUAUUGGUUAAAAGCUAUUUGCUCAUAUAAAAAUAAGAAUCUCAGUCUUUGUGGUCUUAACUCUUUUUAUAUCAUCGGUAUUUAAGGACAUUGGAUAAGUUUUCAAACUGAUGCUCAAGAAGCCAAUAUAGUGAAGGCAUUAACAACUAUAAUAUAAAGUUCAAGCCUUGUAGACUAUCGAACUCCAAUGACCUUACACUAUUGUAUUAGUCAGCAUACUACAUGUCGGAGAAUAUUUGCAGUAACUCAAUUCAUCAAGUAGCGUUGGCUAAUUUCAUGAUAAGUUAGUAUCCUUUUCGAUGGUCAAUUAAGAAACGUUAUGCAUCAUUUAAAGAGGACUAUUGCUCUAUUUUUGACUUCUCUCUAAUUUAAGUGAGGUCACACAGAGUCUUUACUAUAGCAUGCCUCUUUCAGCACCCUUGAUGGCGGACCACUGCAGAGGAAGAGAGAAAAAGGAAGAAGGGAAGGAAGAGGAAGAAGAGGUUAUAGAGACGCAAGAAGAAGAGAAGAGGAGAAAGAGAGGAGGAAGAAG
rnacentral:lncRNA from 1 species